GCGGCGGCUUACACAUGCAAGUCGAACGAAGUUAGGAAGCUUGCUUCUGAUACUUAGUGGCGGACGGGUGAGUAAUGCUUAGGAAUCUGCCUAGUAGUGGGGGAUAACUUGGGGAAACCCAAGCUAAUACCGCAUACGACCUACGGGUGAAAGGGGGCUUUUAGCUCUCACUAUUAGAUGAGCCUAAGUCGGAUUAGCUGGUUGGUGGGGUAAAGGCCUACCAAGGCGACGAUCUGUAGCUGGUCUGAGAGGAUGAUCAGCCACACUGGGACUGAGACACGGCCCAGACUCCUACGGGAGGCAGCAGUGGGGAAUAUUGGACAAUGGGCGAAAGCCUGAUCCAGCCAUGCCGCGUGUGUGAAGAAGGCCUUUUGGUUGUAAAGCACUUUAAGUGGGGAGGAAAAGCUUAUGGUUAAUACCCAUAAGCCCUGACGUUACCCACAGAAUAAGCACCGGCUAACUCUGUGCCAGCAGCCGCGGUAAUACAGAGGGUGCAAGCGUUAAUCGGAAUUACUGGGCGUAAAGCGCGCGUAGGUGGUUAUUUAAGUCAGAUGUGAAAG
rnacentral:rRNA from 1 species